rnacentral:rRNA from 1 species
GGUGAGUAAUGCGUCGGAACGUACUGAGUAAUGGGGGAUAACGCAGCGAAAGUUGUGCUAAUACCGCAUACGCCCUGAGGGGGAAAGUGGGGGACCGCAAGGCCUCACGUUAUUCGAGCGGCCGACGUCUGAUUAGCUAGUUGGUGAGGUAAUGGCUCACCAAGGCGACGAUCAGUAGCGGGUCUGAGAGGAUGAUCCGCCACACUGGGACUGAGACACGGCCCAGACUCCUACGGGAGGCAGCAGUGGGGAAUUUUGGACAAUGGGGGCAACCCUGAUCCAGCCAUUCCGCGUGAGUGAAGAAGGCCUUCGGGUUGUAAAGCUCUUUCAGCCGGAACGAAACGGUACGCGCUAACAUCGUGUGCUAAUGACGGUACCGGCAGAAGAAGCACCGGCUAACUACGUGCCAGCAGCCGCGGUAAUACGUAGGGUGCGAGCGUUAAUCGGAAUUACUGGGCGUGAAGCGUGCGCAGGCGGAUUGUUAAGCAAGAUGUGAAAUCCCCGCGCUUAACCUGGGAAUGGCAUUUUGAACUGGCAGUCUAGAGUGUGUCAGAGGGGGGUGGAAUUCCACGUGUAGCAGUGAAAUGUGUAGAGAUGUGUAGGAACACCGAUGGCGAAGGCAGCCUCCUGGGAUAACACUGACGCUCAUGUACGGAAGCGUGGGUUGCAAACAGGAUUAGAUACCCUGGUAGUCCACGCCCUAAACGAUGUCAACUGGUUGUUGGCGGGAGUGAAAUCCCCUCAGUAACGAAGCUGACGCGUGACGUUGACCGCUUGGGGAGUACGGUCGCAAGAUU